rnacentral:lncRNA from 1 species
CUUGCCUCUCUCUGAUCGACAGUCCCGACUUCGUCGCGUCUCAUCUCAAACGCACGCUAGAAACCGAAGAGCACCUCAUGAUCCUGCUGCUAUCCCAUCGCCUUCUACGUACGAUGUACCUCGACGCACCGGAUAAACUCUCCGACGUCGAUCAUCCUCUGCAAACCGGUGGUUUCACGGAGGUUUUCGGUUCGGUUAACGGUUUGAUCGGUUUAACAAACUCUCCUGUUGAUUUAGCGAUUUUCAAUCCAUCGACUCGCAAAAUCCACCGCUUACCGAUUGAGCCUAUCGAUUUCUCGGAACAGUUCAUCACACGCGAGAAUGUGUUUUACGGAUUAGGUUACGAUUCCGUGAGCGAUGAUUACAAAGUUGUGAGGAUGAUUCAGUCCAAGUACAAAGGCGAUGGAGUCGAGGAAAGCUUUGGUUACGCUCUCGAAAUCAAGGUUUUCAGUUUGAAGAGUAACAGCUGGAAGAGAAUCCAUCUUCUAUUUGAGGUUCAGAUUCUCUUCAUCUACUUUUAUUACGAUCUGCUGUAUCGCCGUGGGAAUGGUGUUCUCGCUAGCAACAGUCUCCACUGGAUUUUGCCUCGAACUGGUGGACAUACUGCGUUCAACACGAUAAUCAGAUUUGAUCUCGCUUCUGAUGAUCUUGGAGUGCUUAGCUUCCCAAACGAUCUUUACUUGGAAGAUGAUAUGGAUAUUGGUGUGCUGGAUGGCUGCCUUUGCUUGAUGUGUUACAGCGAGUCUAGCCAUGUGGGUGUUUGGAUUUUGAGGGAAUAUGAAGGAGAAUGGAGUAAGUUCAUUACGGUGCCGAAACCUGAGACUGUGGUGUCGUUUGAAUCUGUGAGGCCUAUGAUCUAUUCCAAGGACAGGAGCAAAAUUUUGCUGGAGAUAAACAAUGGGAAGCUAAUGUGGUUUGAUUUGGAGAGUAAGGGUUUUGAAACGCUUGGAAUAAAGGGUUGUGAGGGUCCGUGUAAUGCUGAAAUCGUCGUGAGUAGCCUUGUUUUGGGAUGUAAAGGUGAUCCUCGCAGAGCUCAAGAGAAGAAGAUGAUGCUGAAGGGUAACAAAAGGUUGUAUGCAAGUCUUUUUAAGAUUUUGAGGAUUGCUAAUGGUAACUUGCUUAAACAUCUUAUGUUAAAAUCUCAGGGGAGAUGGUUUCCUGUCCAAGGGAUUCAAGCUCAAGUUCUGAGCAAUGCAGAGGAACUUCAAAGCCCAAACCUUUAUCAAGGUAAGUGUAAUGAAUCUAACAUUUACAAUUCACAACACUGUAUAUAAGAUAUCUUACUAUAUUUCAAGUGUUUAGGAGUUUGAACUGUGUAGGUGCAGAAAUUGACUUUUGGUUUGAUUUUCAGGUUCAUGGCGUAGGCGGGAGAGGAAAUGGCUUAAAGGCAACUUCAUCAAAUUCGUAUUAGGUUUUAAUACUAAUUAGCUUAACCUAUGUAGAAGGUAUAUUCGGUCCUAAGAGAAGACACUGUGCUUAGGUAACUUCUAUUGAGUAUGGCAUGUUGCAAUAUAACGCUGUAGUUGGCUGCAUAUAUUAAAAAUCUAGUAAAAUUAAAUCUGGCUGCAAAUAGUUACUGAAGAAUAUUUGAUUAGAUAGACGAGAAUAUGAAGAAAAUCGUUGAUAAACAAAAACAUAAGAAACUAGCUACCAGAGUUGAUUCAAGAAGUCAACAGAGGAUUGACUGGCAAUCAGUUUUUUUUUUUUUGAUCAAAUUUGUCCGUGAGAUUGCGUUGUGACUUGAAAAGAUUAAUACAUUUUUUCUUACGAGAUUUAUUGGGCCGAGCAUACGAGGCCCACAAAUGUACUUGGAAACAAAUAUCUAAAUCACAACAGUGACACUGAGAGUAGCUUCCGAGAGAAAACAAUGGCGAAUCUCCCAAUGGAUAUCGUCAACGAUGUAUUCCUUCGUCUCCCUGCUACUACACUGGUCCGAUGCCGCCUCCUCUCCAAGCUUUGCUUCUCUCUUAUCGACAGUUCCGACUUCGUUGCCUCGCAUCUCAAACGCACGCUCGAAACCGAAGAGCACCUCAUGAUCCUGCUACGAUCGCCUCGCCUUCUACGUACGGUGUACCUCGACGCACCGGAUAAACUCUCAGACGUCGACCAUCCUCUGCAAACCGGUGGUUUCACGGAGGUUUUCGGUUCGGUUAACGGUUUGAUCGGUUUAACAAACUCUCCGGUUGAUUUAGCGAUUUU